GGCGUCAGAUCCGGUUGGAUCUAUUUAGAUAAAAUCCAAACCCUCGAGCGGGUUGGUGCGUCUCUGAGGAGGCGUCAGAUCCGGUUGGAUCUAUUGAGAUGAAAUCCAAACCCUCGAGCGGGUUGGCGCGUCUCUGAGGAGGCGUCAGAUCCGGUUGGAUCUAUUGAGAGAAAAUCCAUACGCUCGAGCGGGUUGAUGCGUCUCUGAUGAGGCGUUUGUUCCAAAUGGAUCCAAUGAGAGAAAUUUGAUUGAUAUUAUUCAUCCUGAAGUAUCCUCGAGAGAAUUGAUAAGUUUGGAAACUAUUUGAUUGACUAUGACUUACUCUGAAAAAUAGCCCUGAUCCUGAUGGAUCAUAUUGAUCAAUUUAUCCUAGAGCGUACUGAUGAAAGAUAACUAUUGAUAAUAUCCAGUUUUCCAAUGGCGGUCGAUCUGUAUGGAUCAGAUUGGCAGUUUUUUUAAGGAUUGAUGAGUCCUUGAUUUACAAAACAUCCGAAUGGAUCAUAUUGAAAAACAUGGUACAUUUGAGCACUCUGACGGUGAGUAAUUGAUUACAAUGCGAAUAAUGUUCCAAGUUCGGUAAUCCUUGGUUUUGUUAAUUUUUAAUAUAAUCAUCGCUUCUAUUAUAAUCCCUAUGAUUAAAAUCCGAGUUUAUGCAUAUUAUCAUAGUAGCUGUUCUAGUAUCUACUUUAUUCAUAGCUACAAAACAUGAUUAAUGGGAAUUAAUGAUUACAUUUGAAUUAUACUUAAUAUAUUUUUUUAUUUAUUUACAGGUUUUCUUUAUUAUUUUUGCAGGUUUUAUUUUUUUUAUUUUUAAAUUUCUUUUUAUUUGUGAAUUUUAACUUAGGCUAAUUCUUCACAAAUUUUUGCAGGUGUCAAAGCUCUAUUUUUUUUUUGUUUAUUACUAAACAAUUUAAUUCCAAUAUUUUUCAAAUCUUGAAAGAUAUGUUGUUAGAGUAGGGGAGAAGGAGGAUGUAGGAAGUAAUAUAAAUAAAUUAAAUUGUUCGAUAUUUAAUAAGAAAUUCUGAUAAGUCAUUUAUUUGGAAGUUCCUUGUUUGAAUAUAAAAACAAAUUAAAUGAAGAAUUUGAUCCAGUGUUCACCAUUAUAACAAAUAACGCGAGAGCGGGGUCGGACACAUGCCUACAACCCUGACUUUCAUCGAAGCCGAAGACAGGAAGACACGAGCUUUAUGCGUGGUGCUGUAGACGUGAUGGUGUGCGUGAUGUUCGAGCGCAUGAACGAACGGAAUGAAGGGGACAGAUAGAUAAUCAGAGAUUUCAAUGAGACAGUUUUGUGAGUGAUGUUGUUGAGACUAGAUGUGUGGUUGACUUCAAUAAAAAAAUCAGAAUGGAACAUGAAAAAAAAAAUGUGUUUUUAAUUAAAACGAAGAAUUCCUACAAUGGCACGCUGGAUCACACAUAAAAUCGGAGGACCUUAUAUAAACUAUGUGUAUCUACACAUGAAAAGGGUUAUCUAUGACAAAUUGCAAAAAUCUAUGUGAGCGACACAUGCAUACAAUAUUUGCAGUUCAUUAGCAAAAAUGGCACUAUAUCCAUAGUGUUAGACAAUCAUAAGUCAAAAUGCCCCUCCUGACCACACCCGAUACAUUUUAUAUUCAAAGACUUCAGAAGUGAUUACUCAAGAACUCACUGUAUUUGAAUCGCAUAAACAUUUAGUGGCAUUCAAUAGGUUAUAAAGCGCCUUUUACUCGAAUUCUUGAGACUUCCAGUUAAGCCGAAAGUUUCAUUUUUUUAUUGUUCGAUUUUUUAAAAUAUCCAAUUCAACUAGCCAUUUGACUAGCAUGAUACUUAACAGGAUCGUGGUUAGCAACUGCUCUGAAUAUGUCAUCUAGCUUCAACGAAUGCUUUAACUGUCAUUUUGACUUCCUAUCUUGCAAACUACCAAGACAGUUCAAUUAUUCUCACACAUUGAUGUUAAUUUUCUUGAAGUCUUGUAAGAGAGGACAAAGCAUUAGUUAAAUCAUGUCUUCAUGUUAAUUUGGUUUCAAGAGCCAACCCUUUUUACGUCUCCGUAGACUUAUUAUACUUUACUGAGCAAUGAUAACUUCAAUAUAUAUCACCUGAGGUGGGUCCACAACAACCUCAGUAUCUGCUCAGUUAUAUUCGCAUUUGGAACAUAUGCAAAUACUAUUCGUUACUGUUUUUCUAGUCACGCUUAGCUUAAAGUUUAGUUUUGUCUUUCGCCUUCUCAGCUGCCACUUAAUUGGUGUGAAAUUUCAUUUUUAAUGGUUCAAUUUAACUAAAAAGCCCAGAUUGGAGUUCAAGAGAAAUCGCUCAAGAAACUUCUAGAACGAUUCCUGGCAGAAACUUUCUAUGGUGACAUUUGAACUGUCAUUUCUUUGCAACUGCGUACUGCGAUCGAAGAAAAAACGGUUUCUUGAGUGAUUCAGCCAAGGAAUUUCCCAUGCCUCAAGAUAGGCCGAGAAAUUCCCUCUGAUCUGCAAACAGCCCUUAAAUCUGCGUUGGCUGGUAAUCUGUUUCUUACGAAAUUUACGACACUGUUGCGUUUUUAGUACUUUAAUUUUUAAUAACACAAUUCGCCUUAUACGGCUCUACAAAGAAUCGACUAUAUCUGCCUUGCAGGUCUUACCGCCUUCAACGGCAUUUCCACCUUCAACGGCUUUUUCCGCCUUCAACAGCUUUUCACUCUCCGACGGAUCUUUCCGCCAUCGACAGUUUUUCGCCUUAGUCGGCUCUUCUGCCUAUAACAUUUUCCGCCUGUAGGAAGUAAUAUAAAUAAAUUAAAUUGUUCGAUAUUUAAUAAGAAAUUCUGAUAAGUCAUUUAUUUGGAAGUUCCUUGUUUGAAUAUAAAAACAAAUUAAAUGAAGAAUUUGAUCCAGUGUUCACCAUUAUAACAAAUAACGCGAGAGCGGGGUCGGACACAUGCCUACAACCCUGACUUUCAUCGAAGCCGAAGACAGGAAGACACGAGCUUUAUGCGUGGUGCUGUAGACGUGAUGGUGUGCGUGAUGUUCGAGCGCAUGAACGAACGGAAUGAAGGGGACAGAUAGAUAAUCAGAGAUUUCAAUGAGACAGUUUUGUGAGUGAUGUUGUUGAGACUAGAUGUGUGGUUGACUUCAAUAAAAAAAUCAGAAUGGAACAUGAAAAAAAAAUGUGUUUUUAAUUAAAACGAAGAAUUCCUACAAUGGCACGCUGGAUCACACAUAAAAUCGGAGGACCUUAUAUAAACUAUGUGUAUCUACACAUGAAAAGGGUUAUCUAUGACAAAUUGCAAAAAUCUAUGUGAGCGACACAUGCAUACAAUAUUUGCAGUUCAUUAGCAAAAAUGGCACUAUAUCCAUAGUGUUAGACAAUCAUAAGUCAAAAUGCCCCUCCUGACCACACCCGAUACAUUUUAUAUUCAAAGACUUCAGAAGUGAUUACUCAAGAACUCACUGUAUUUGAAUCGCAUAAACAUUUAGUGGCAUUCAAUAGGUUAUAAAGCGCCUUUUACUCGAAUUCUUGAGACUUCCAGUUAAGCCGAAAGUUUCAUUUUUUUAUUGUUCGAUUUUUUAAAAUAUCCAAUUCAACUAGCCAUUUGACUAGCAUGAUACUUAACAGGAUCGUGGUUAGCAACUGCUCUGAAUAUGUCAUCUAGCUUCAACGAAUGCUUUAACUGUCAUUUUGACUUCCUAUCUUGCAAACUACCAAGACAGUUCAAUUAUUCUCACACAUUGAUGUUAAUUUUCUUGAAGUCUUGUAAGAGAGGACAAAGCAUUAGUUAAAUCAUGUCUUCAUGUUAAUUUGGUUUCAAGAGCCAACCCUUUUUACGUCUCCGUAGACUUAUUAUACUUUACUGAGCAAUGAUAACUUCAAUAUAUAUCACCUGAGGUGGGUCCACAACAACCUCAGUAUCUGCUCAGUUAUAUUCGCAUUUGGAACAUAUGCAAAUACUAUUCGUUACUGUUUUUCUAGUCACGCUCAGCUUAAAGUUUAGUUUUGUCUUUCGCCUUCUCAGCUGCCACUUAAUUGGUGUGAAAUUUCAUUUUUAAUGGUUCAAUUUAACUAAAAAGCCCAGAUUGGAGUUCAAGAGAAAUCGCUCAAGAAACUUCUAGAACGAUUCCUGGCAGAAACUUUCUAUGGUGACAUUUGAACUGUCAUUUCUUUGCAACUGCGUACUGCGAUCGAAGAAAAAACGGUUUCUUGAGUGAUUCAGCCAAGGAAUUUCCCAUGCCUCAAGAUAGGCCGAGAAAUUCCCUCUGAUCUGCAAACAGCCCUUAAAUCUGCGUUGGCUGGUAAUCUGUUUCUUACGAAAUUUACGACACUGUUGCGUUUUUAGUACUUUAAUUUUUAAUAACACAAUUCGCCUUAUACGGCUCUACAAAGAAUCGACUAUAUCUGCCUUGCAGGUCUUACCGCCUUCAACGGCAUUUCCACCUUCAACGGCUUUUUCCGCCUUCAACAGCUUUUCACUCUCCGACGGAUCUUUCCGCCAUCGACAGUUUUUCGCCUUAGUCGGCUCUUCUGCCUAUAACAUUUUCCGCCUUCAACGGCUUUUCUAUCUGUAAUCCUUUCCGCCUUUUACGGCUAUUUCAAGAAUGUCGCUUUCAUUAGCUUUUAUCGCCUUCAUUCGCUUUUAUCGCCUUCACUGGCUUUUAACAGCAACGGCAAAAUUUGAUUUCAAAAUAUUGUUUCAUCUCUACGCCUUCCACGGCCAUCCGUUUAACAAAUCAAUACUUCAUUCAUCAUUCAGCAUUUAAGUCUAGAUUUAGGACAACAACCCUAUUCAACGAGUAUCAAUAUCACAAUCAACAAAACUUAGAUUUUCUUCACAGUUCUUUAUUUCUUUAUCUGACAAUAGUGAUUGUCAUCGAUUUGAACUAAACAAUACCGAUCACCAUCAAAAUCUCUCACAGGUUGAUCAUUGUCAUUAGUCGAAGGUACAAAUAGAUUGUUUGAUUCAUAUUGAACAGUUAGUACACAAUAUUUACCUUUUUGAUUUCAAUGUUGAAAUUCAUUCACAAGUCAUCACCUGGAGGUCAUCACCACUCUGCAUGCACCACACACACACACACACACACACACACACACACACACACACACACACACACACACACACCACUCAUCUCAUUCUUUUUCCAAAGACAACACUUCCCGAGCCGAAAUUAAACUAAUUUCACAUGCACUGUUCACCGUUCUCGUCGCCAAUGUGAGAAUCUUUCUCUGUAAUGAUUAUUCAACAACUGUAUUCAUUAUUUGUAUACACUUUAUUACCGAUACUUCAAUAUUACAUACAAUGAUUCACACUCCAGACAACAAUAACAAUAUCUCCGCAUAUGACAGAUACUCAAUGUAAACAUACACGCUAAACGUAAUAGAGUCAGUGUACGCAGAAUAUGCCACCGCAAGCGAAAAAUAGGCAACAAAGAAGGCACGGCAACAACGCUUUGUUUUUUCGUUAGCAGAUAAUGACAAAAUCGCUCCCGAGUUUGUUCACAACAAAAACGGUAGGAAUAUUUGUCUCGUUCUAUUCACAUCGUGAUUUUCGCAUUGUUUUACAACUGAAAGUCGACUCUGAGGUUUGCAUGAGUCUUAAUUCGUUCAAAUGCUUAUGAAUACGAUGAUGUUGGUUGAAAAUUUCAGCCGAAAAACCGGAAUAUCAGCAUACGCACGGCAAGGGAUGUUUGUUUUAUUGCUCUCAUCGCCUGACAUGCGUUUGUUGCGGAGCGCCUUUGUUACCAACAUGCACCGCUUAGGACAAAGCGUUUGUUUUUCGGCGUGAUCCGUUUUUCAUACCCUGAAUAGAGUAAUACAAUAAUUUAUUAUGUGCAUACCACAAGGUACCACAGGUAGUACCUCGGCUACAGCACUUGGCUUCGCAACUCCGAAUCACAGAAACGACUGGUACGACGGCGAAUGUGAACAGUUUAAAAACUAGAAGAAUGCAGCAUGGGCGAGAAUGCUGCAACACCGUACGAGAGCGAAUGAGGCACGUUGAAAACAGGCGCCGAACAAGCAGAACUCAGUCUUCCGAAUGAAGAAGCGCCAGUAGGAAGAACGAGAUCGCGAAGCGAUGGAAGAGCUGCACGGACAGAAAUGUUGUCUGAUAGAUAUAACUCUAGAUUGAGUUUAAAUAAGGGCGAAAGUAACAUGAGAGAGUUCUCUUCAUCGACUCUCUCUUCUUCAAAUUAAAGUGACAAGAUGCAAGUAUGGUUGUACUUUUUGGUCAUAAAUCGCUAGGUUGCGUUGCAAUCUAGCGUCUAAAUGUAAAAAAAGUUCGAUUGAAUUUGCAUCUUGUCACUUUAAUUCGCAGAAGAGAGAGUCGAUGAAGAGAACUCGCUCAUGUUACUUUCGCAAUUAUUUAUUAUCGUCGCACCACCAAAUCGAAGUCGUCGCUAGAAGCACAUGCGAAGUUGCAGCUGCGAAGUAAAUUUGAAUCUAUUUUUUCUGUAGCGCAUCAUUAAGCUAAUUAAGAGCAACAAUAGUGGUUUCUGCUUUUAGUGGUGUUGCGUAUACGUACACGCUGCAUUAUACGAAUACUACCUGAGUUACUGGUGGAAAAUAGUAAACAAAGAACAGCUGUUCCCGGCAAAAUCAAAUGGGCAUAUUUUCAACCAGUAGAUUUGCAUUAGUGUUCGUGACACCGCGCUGCGAAACCACUAUAUGCACUAAUCCAAAUUGAGUUGCGACAUUUCUAAGUAGGUUAAAAAUCAAUUUUCGCACGUUUGGUCACUUUGUAUUUCGACCAAAAGCAUAAUAAACUCAAUCUAGAAUUUUUUCCAUAGUUAGCUCAAGCUUCGAAGAUGUUCUUGGCAUGAUUGCUUCAAAUGGUUGAUUCAUAAUGAUUUUAUGUCUACAUCAAGCAUAUGUUUCAUUUAAAUCAACAUCAUUGAACACCAACCAUCAUAUGCUUAAAUCAAGCAUAAAUGUCAUUACUUGAACCGUGUUGAUUGAGCCUCCUGCCUGCCUGCUCAUUGUUCAUCAUGGCGGCGGUAGUUAAAAGUGACGACGGUGACAUUGUCUUUUUGUUGUAAUUUCAUUAAAUAAAUCGUAUACUGCGUGCCUCUGCAUUCUGCAACCAGAACAAGUGCGCUCUGCUAUAUUAAGUCUCCUUGAAGAUUCAGCCAUUUCAGCCUCAGGUGCAGCUUGUAAUCGUAAACCACCAAUAGAAAGAUGACUCAAAAUGCAGCAUCCGUAGCACCGAGACCGGAACAACAGCCAGCAACCGAACCUUCCUGUUGGGGCCACACAGUUCGGGCAAGAGAACCCAAGCUCCGCUGACAAAGAAGAAUUUUUGCGUGUUUCACCUUUCGAGAUGACAAGCUGCGAGCGGAAAAUGCUGGGGGGUUUAAGCUGGCGGCCAGGUCAAGAAGGUCAUGGACGAGAUCGAAUUAAUGCCCGAUGAUGUGGCGAUGGACCGGAGUGCAAAAAUGGAUUCCUUUUGGACGCUGUUCCCCGAACGGUUGUGCAAGCCGAGAAAUUGAACGACCUGUUGGAGAAGCGCAAGACCGGACUGGUUAUCGUGGUUGUUUGGAAUCGACGGCAGUCUGCAUGUGCACCGUACCACCACCGAGACCACCAUUUGGGAACAUUGGCAGUGUCUUCACCAGUCAACAGAAAACAUAGAUUGGACUGUAAGAAUCGGUGGCGAUCACAUUUACGGUUGAAGCUCAGUUUUUGUUGUGUGUUUGAGCUUAGAAUUAUAAGAAUCAAAAAAUAGUCUAAGAAAAUAUGAAAAAAAAUAAAAAAUGUUCAAGGGAUUUAAUUAAAAGUUCCUAUAAUGGUGGUAUUUAGUGCAAUAUGUUACAUGUGAGAUAUAAGAUGUACUGCAUAAAGCUGUGGAAAGGAGAUUGAUCACAGCAGGCGAUAUAUUAUCGUCGCACCACCAAAUCGAAGUCGUCGCUAGAAGCACAUGCGAAGUUGCAGCUGCGAAGUAAACUUUAAUCUAUUUUUUCUGUUGCGCAUCAUUAAGCUAAUUAAGAGCAACAAUAUGCACUAAUCCAAAUUGAGUUGCGACAUUUCUAAGUAGGUUAAAAAUCAAUUUUCGCACGUUCGGUCACUUCGAAUUUCGACCAAAAGCAUAAUAGCGCAUUUGAAUGUGAUGCGAACUGUCAAGCGGACAAUGUUAGCAUCCCUGCUUGCGUAGCAACAACUCCACACGGAGAAACUGAAAAACUCAAAAUUAGGUACUUUUAAACUCAAUUUUGAGUUCUUUUUCAUCUCCCUUUUCAUGCGCUCUUUCUGUUGUUGUCAGAGAGUGAAGAGAGAAACAGCCCAACUUUUGCAGUUCCGUGCGUCAAGCCAAAACUGAGUUUCUAGCACAGUACUCAAAUUUGAGUGAAUACAACCUAGUCAAAAUUUCGGUUGAGUGGAAAAAACUUAAAAUUAGGUAUUUUUUUCACAUGGAAGCAAGCGGCAACAACCCAACAAAAACAUCGAUUCCAUCAACUCAAAAUUGGCUUGACGCACGCAACCCCGAAGUUGGGUGGAAAGAACUCACUUCUGGGUAGUUUCGUCUCUCCGUGCAGGCGUCACCCAACCGCGUUCACUCUUGCCACUUGCGAACCGACGUCAGCCUGGGCAAGUUGUGUGUGUUGCACGUGAGGGGUGAUUUCAUCCCAGUGAAAUACCAAACUCCACAUUACAUAUAGAACAUAUUCCCACUAAAAUACGACCAUUAUUGAAUUGUUUAUCCUCAAUUUAACCUCAUUUGAACGAAUUUUGAUGUAUGCUUAAAACAGCUUAAAACAACCAUCUGAUACAGUUCGCUUAAGCCUCAAGUUUAGAGAGGUUUAGAGUUAAGUUAAGCAUAAACAUGCUUGGAUAUAGGGGUAGGCGGGGCAUUAUGGACACCCGGGGCAGAAUGGACACCCUUAAUAUUUUGAAAUAUGCGAACUUUUUUGAACUUUCAAUGAAUGGAGAAUAUAGUCCAUUUGUCUAAAACGUAGUUUCAGGAAAGAAACAUUCGAAAUUAAAAUUAUACUUGAUUUUACACGAAAAAGUUGCGUCCUCCGUUUUUUGUGCAUGGAAAUUAUAAUUUUCACACCAUCUAAAAUAAGAUUUAGUGAUUAAUUUAUUGCAGGUCGAUUAAAACCUGAUACCUAUUAUUCUAGAACACAUGCAAGUAGUUUUGCUGUAUCUACAUGCUUAACAUGUUUAUAUUUUCUUCUUUAUCAUAUCAAAAAUCAAGUUUGGAAAUAUCUUCUGCUGCCGGGGCAAAAUGGACACUCACCUUUUUGAAAGAAGCGGCAAGGGAAAAAUAUAACCUAAAUCACAAACCAACCAAAUUCUUCGAUUUCAGUAUAUUUUCGGUUAAAUGUUCACUAUAGUAGACAUAGGGUGAAACAAAUUGGUCAAAAAACGACAGCAGUGGAAAAUAGUUGUUCUAGGCACAGCUGUACAUGCCGACAAAAAUGAAGCUUUAUCCAAAACACCCUGAAUUUAAAUUAACUGAACAAAAAUGAACUACUUCGGCGUAUUAUUCAUCCAUAAUAGUUGUUUUGUAAUGAAAUGACUCUAUAGGUGUAAAUAAUGUACGAAAUACGUAAAAGUCUCAUGGUGUCCAUAUUGCCCCAUGGGGGUGUCCAUUCUGCCCCGUAUGCUUGAAGACGGUCAUGAAAAACUAACAUUUUUCAUAACAUUUUUUGAAGUGGAUAAAUCAUUUUUCUCUGUGAGCAUUCUUAUGCAAUAGAUGCUAAAUAGACUUUAAGAGGAUACAUGUAUCAAAAAACUAAACAGGUAAAGUUGGCAAAAACCUUAGGGUGUCCAUAUUGCCCCGCCUACCCCUACCAUGACAACAAAUAAGCUGUCAAACCAUCAACAAUAAAUAUUGUUGGUGGACGCAUGAUAUGAUUGAGUCAACCAUAUUUCUUUCUUCUGUCCAGUUCAUCAAUUUUGAUCAUUUCAAGCUUCUGUUAUGCUUCGUCCUAUGAUAUUAUGCGUAAUACAAUCUCAAAAAAGGAUUAUAUAAAAGUCAGUGCACAAAUAUGCUUGUUCGCGACCGAAAUAUGAUUGACAUAACUUUAUAUUUUUCUCCGUGUGUACCGCGCUAAGGACACACGAAAGUUCUACGAGAAGCUGAACCGCUCGCGCAGAGGCUUCGUACCACAAGCCGACAUGUGCCAAGAUAAUAACGGGAAUAUUCUCAUGAGCGAGCGUGAGGCGGUCGACAGGUGGUGGCAGCAUUACUAUGAGCACCUCAAUGGCGACGUUGCAAGCUGAGACGAGACUCGCGAAGAGGAAAAAAAGCAACGUCAAGUGCAGCCCAACUGAGCUGUCAGUUGUAGCCCGUUUGAUUACGUUACCUAGAACGAGUAAAGUAUUGCUAUCCGAGAUAAAUUCUGAAGCCAAAAUUCACUCCGAGCAGCAUUUUCUUCUCCUGUACUGUCAAUAAUAAAUUGAAAACAAAAUAUUCCAAUGAUUACUUUGCUUGGCGAUUGUUGGCGAUGCAAAAUUUCACCUCAACAUGAUUUUGUGCGUGAAUGGGAUUCAGUCACACUGCAUGUGAGGUGAUGCAGUCACGUACGUGUUUGAACCACUAGUCCAAAACACAGAUAGGAAGAAGAAAAAAAUAACAAAGUGGAGAAAAAGAAGACCGUCUUCGCGAGUCUCGUCUCAGGUUGCAAGUACCGAAGGUGGCGUGGUAACAGAUUUAGGAGUAUGUGCACAGGACGAAAGACUUCCGACCCCUGACCACCAAGAGAUUGAGGAGGAGGUUGGCCGGUUGAAAAACAACAAAGCCGCUGGGGCAGAUCAACUACCAAGCGAGCUUCUAAAAUACGGUGGAGAAACACUGGUGAGAGCACUACACUGGGUCAUUACCAAGAUUUGGGAGAAGGAAGUAUUACUGGAGGAAUGGAUGGAAGGUAUCGUGUGUCCCAUCUACAAAAAGGGCGAGAAGUUGGAUUGCGGGAACUGAGCGCUGCCUACAAGAUACUCGCCGUACUUUUUUGCGUUUUCCACAUAAGUUGAUUUCUUUUGUCUAAAACGAUCUAACUAAAGACGUUGAAGUAUAGCCUAGGAUGUGCCGAAAAACUCAAAAUAACUGGGACAAGUAAAAUUUCAGAAAGAUUCUAGAAAAGGGUAUAAUUAUCCUAUAGCCAACUUUGAGUUGUUAUAUCCCCGGGUUCAAUGAACCGAAUGUAAUGAAAUUUUGAUCAUUUAUGACGAAUAAAAUAAACUUUGAAAAACAUUUGACUUAAUUUGAGAUUUCUAUAGAUCUUUGAUAGACUUUUUUGCAACACGUUUACAUAUCCCUGGCAAUAUUAUGCCCCAGUUUUAUCAGGCUUUCACCCAUUUUUUCAUCAAUCCACCAAGAGCCUCACAUCGGCAUUAUAAUAGUUUGCGAUAAACUGAAUCCUGGGCAGGAUCAGGCAUGAGAAUGAGACUUUUUUCUGUUUACCGUUUAUCGGUACUGGCAGUAAAAUAAAAGCAAAACAACGACAGCACCAAUACCAUCAGACGCCGCGCCGACGGCAGUCAGGCAGACGCUUGAUGGUUUUUGCCUGGUUUUUGCUUCCCCACGAAAAUAUUUAUGAGCAGUCAUGCUGAGGCGGGUGAUUGCGAAAAAUGUCAAAUAUUUUCAACCGCAAAUUACUCACUUGUUUUAACAAAUAAUUUAAAUCGAUUUGCACAAAUAGCUAGAGCACACUCCUAGCUUUGUGAUGCAUGUAAAGAAGUUUGCCUAGAAGCGGUUUCAAACGCAGAAAAAUGCGAAAAUGGGAGAGACAGAAAUUUCUGUCGUCGUUGUGCUCGAGUACUGGCGCUCUCGCGGUUGGAAACCGUUUCGAGGAAGAAGGCUGCAGGAAAAAAAAAUGUUAUGACAUUUAUUUUUCGAACAGUUUGAAUUUGGCUGGGCCUGUGAUGUUCGUGUUGAGAAAUGUCAAAUGUACAGCCGGUAACUGUUUUUCCCAGUACAUUUCUCAUCCCUGGGCAGGAUUAUGGGGGUCGCAGGGGGUUUGUCGGUUUCGUACGGCACAACCCCGGAAUCCCCCACAAAUGAAAAGGCAGAACAAGAAUAAAAACGAAUAGCGCAAGAAAGACUUUUUCAUUUA